CUUUGUUAUCCCUCUUUACUCCUGUCUUAAACUGACCGUUUCUUCUCUUUAUUAUUUUCCCCCUUUAUUUUUCUCUUUUCUUUAUUUGAAUCUUCUCUUCAAAUUAAUAAUACUUUUUUCCCACACUUCGCUCAGGUAUAUUUAUUAAAACUGUAAAAAAUUGAAAAAUGAACCACUGUUCUAUUCAACAAAGCAACUUUGCUGCUUGUGAUGAGAUGAGGCGUUCUUAUUCCUCCAUUUCCGAUAAGAAAGACGCCGUCGUUUGCCCAAAACCCCGUCGUAUUAGCCCUACGAGACCUCUCAGAUGGCAUGUCAGCAAUCAGCAAGACCUUUGUGAUUCUAGAGCUGGAGCUGAUUUAUUGGAUAU
rnacentral:misc_RNA from 1 species